rnacentral:rRNA from 1 species
GGGCCCGCACAAGCAGUGGAGUAUGUGGUUUAAUUCGAAGCAACGCGAAGAACCUUACCAGGGCUUGACAUACCGAUGACCGCUCUAGAGAUAGGGCCUCCCUUCGGGGCAUCGGAUACAGGUGGUGCAUGGUUGUCGUCAGCUCGUGUCGUGAGAUGUUGGGUUAAGUCCCGCAACGAGCGCAACCCCUGUUGUUAGUUGCCAUCAUUUAGUUGGGCACUCUAACAAGACUGCCGGUGACAAAUCGGAGGAAGGUGGGGAUGACGUCAAAUCAUCAUGCCCCUUAUGUCCUGGGCUACACACGUACUACAAUGGCGACCACAGAGGGAAGCAAGACCGCGAGGUGGAGCAAAUCCCCAAAAGUCGUCCCAGUUCAGAUUGCAGGCUGCAACUCGCCUGCAUGAAGUCGGAAUUGCUAGUAAUGGCAGGUCAGCAUACUGCCGUGAAUACGUUCCCGGGCCUU